UAAGACAGAGGGUGCAAGCGUUGUUCGGAAUUACUGGGCGUAAAGGGCGCGUAGGCGGUCCGCUAAGUUCGGUGUGAAAUCCCCUGGCUCAACUGGGGAACUGCGCCGGAAACUGGCAGACUCGAGUACCGGAGAGGAGGGUGGAAUUCCUGGUGUAGCGGUGAAAUGCGUAGAUAUCAGGAGGAACACCGGUGGCGAAGGCGGCCCUCUGGACGAGUACUGACGCUGAGGCGCGAAAGCGUGGGGAUCAAACAGGAUUAGAUACCCUGGUAGUCCACGCUGUAAACGAUGGGAACUAGGUGUGAGAGGUUAGAUCCUCUCGUGCCGCCGCUAACGCAUUAAGUUCCCCGCCUGGGGAUUACGGCCGCAAGGUUA
rnacentral:rRNA from 1 species